rnacentral:other from 1 species
ACGGCCCUACUGUGUGCGAGAAAAAUCGUCGUUUUGAGCCAACACUCAAACAUUGGGAGUCUGACUCUCGGUGCGGCAUGUAUGCCCCCCGGCGGGGACACAUAAACCAUUGAGGCGGGCACCCACCUGCUGCGCGCAGGUUCAAGACGGCGAUUCUGAAUACGGCACAGUGGGGAUAUU